rnacentral:rRNA from 1 species
CCUACGGUGCGCAGCAGUGGGGAAUAUUGGACAAUGGGGGGAACCCUGAUCCAGCGACGCCGCGUGAGUGAAGAAGUAUUUCGGUAUGUAAAGCUCUAUCAGCAGGGAAGCAAGACAUGACGGUACCUGACUAAGAAGCCCCGGCUAACUACGUGCCAGCAGCCGCGGUAAUACGUAGGGGGCAAGCGUUAUCCGGAUUUACUGGGUGUAAAGGGAGCGUAGACGGCGAUGCAAGUCUGAAGUGAAAGGCGGGGGCCCAACCCCCGGACUGCUUUGGAAACUGUAUGGCUGGAGUGCAGGAGAGGUAAGUGGAAGUCCUAGUGGAGAGGUGAAAUGCGUAGAUAUUAGGAGGAACACCAGUGGCGAAGGCGGCUUACUGGACUGUAACUGACGUUGAGGCUCGAAAGCGUGGGGAGCAAACAGGAUUAGAUACCCUAGUAGUC